rnacentral:lncRNA from 13 species
UAUUAUUUGGGCCCAGCAGUCAACUGUUCUAGAACACACACAGUCACUAUCAACAAAAUGUUUCCAUAGCCACUGUUAUUUACUGAAUUGUGUCCCCCCAGAAUUGUAUGUUAUAGCCCUAACCUCCUCAGACCUCAGAAUGUAUAUUUGAAGAUGGCGUCUUUAGACAGGAGAUGAAGUUAAAAUGAGACCCUUUUGACCUAGAUGAGCUCAUGGAGGCUUUGAAAACCAUCCACCUGCUCAGGCCUCCUACACAUGCAUCUUCGACUCUGACCUUUCCACUGAGCUACAGGCUCACACCUACUUGUCAUCUCCAUUUGGAUGUCUACCAGGAGAACCAUAAGUCACUAUGAAAGCUUUCUGGCCACCCUGCUGAAGAGAGGCCACAUAAAGAGGAGGAGAGGUCUACUGAUUCAGCAUUUUAGUUGAGCUUCCAGCAGACUCCAGCCUCAGGCUUUAUCUGGAUGCACCUACAUGAGAGACUCCUAAGCAAGACCAGCAGAAGAACCACCCAGCUGAUCCCAGUCAACCCAUAGAACCAUGAGAGAGAUAAUAAAAUGGUGGUUGUUUUAAAGCCA